CUUCUGUCUCAGAAGGCCUGCCUUUCCUUUGCCCUAGUUGUGAGGCAUUUGGAAUUCAGCCAAUCUGCAAUGCUGAAUGUGGAGGAGGAUCCAUGUGACAUGGUUGGAGCCAAGGUGUUGAGCAAAGCCUCAUCUGUCUGGACAAACUUCAGUCCUCACAAGCAAGCAAGCUAUGCCCAAGCUUAUGUGCAAUGCUUUGAAUGGGCAGAGGUCAGUCUGACAGUGACAGUGUGAGAACGAUGUGGAGCUGGGCCUGGGUGGGGAGAAGGUGCCCGUCCUCCAUGAGUCUAAGUGGAGUGUACCCUUUUGACUCACAGAUCCACGUAUUCCUGUCACCAGUUGGUGCAUGAAGGCAAUACAGUCUCCUGAGUUUCUACAAUACCAGAGACAGUCUCCCUAUGCCACCCAAGCAAGUCCGGAAUUCCUGGCUCAAGCGAUCCUCCUGCCUCUGCCUCUAUGAGUACCGGGAGAACAGGUGUGAGCCGCUGCCCAGUCAUAUUUUGAUUGACACUCUCCAAAUGUGAGAGUGGCCUCUAGGAGCUUGGAGUGACCCCUGGCUGACAGCCAGCAAGAAUAUACAGACCUCAGUGUUACAGCCCAGCUGGAUCCUGCCAAGCACCAGUGAGCUGGAAGAGGAUCCCCAGCCUCAGAUGAGCCUGCAGCCUGUGCUGAUGCCUGGAUUUCAGCCUGGGAGACUCUCAGCAGAGGACUCGGCUCAAGGCUGUCUACAGUCCUGAUCUACCAGAACCAUGAGAUAAUAAACAGGCAUUGUUUAGGUAGUGAAAUGUGGUUACACAUAAAUAGGAACCCAGUGCAGCGUAAGAUGCCCUGGCAUAUCAAGGGCGGUUCAUGAGUGGGUGCCUUCAGCUUGGGAGGAAGCAGGCAUAGGGCUGAUGCAUCGCAGUGUCCACAUAUGCAGGGAGGCUGGUUUCCUAGGAAGCCUCCCAAUGAGGAAAUUGUUGGGAAUGUGCUGCAAGGCGCUGCCUCGCUCUGGAGCCAGACGAGAGGCCGGAGCAUCCGCCCCAACAUGGCUGGCUGUGUGAGCCUCAGGAACGCUGGCAGCUCUGCAAGACUCUCUGCCAUCUGCAAAAUGUGGGUGAGCAUAUCCCCCCAGCCACACAAUUCUUGGGGAUGGAGUGAGACAAUUCUUAGAAAGCUCUAGUUGCAGUGCGGGUGCACAGGAAGGGCUCUGUGCACACUGAUGCAUGUUGCUCUAGCUCAAAGUGUCCCUUGAGCAGCUGGGGUGUGAUCUCCAAGUGCACCCACCAGCCGGUCUCACCUGGCCUGGGCUCCGAGCAGGGGUCAACCUGAGGGCAUUUCACUCCAGAUCCAGCAUGGGUUUGAGGAAGGGGCCAAUGAGGGGCCAGUGGCCACAAAAUAGCACUUGAUUCUGAUCAUAAGCCCAGUCACUAAGAGGCGGGUAAAAAGAAAUGCAUUACCCAUUUGACAAAUUUUCUAUGGUGAAUGAAUACAAAUACUGGGUUACAAUGAGCACUUGGCUAGCUGGCUAAAGGUAGGGCCCCAAAUAGGGGGGCUGAAUGGAGGUGAGAAGCCUGUGACCAUUGCUGAGGCAUGGGCAGGGACUCGGGCACACACGUGUGGGCAGCUCCGUGGUGUUAACCUCCAGCCUGGGUCAGUUGCUGGCCUGGGCUGACUGUGGUGACCACAGGCCAGGGGAUAUUGGGAGGGACUGAAAACCAUGAAACAAAGCAGAACAAACUUGCCACUCCAAAACCUCACACACGGCAGGAAGUGGGCCAGCCUGGAGUUACUGAGGGGGCUGUGGCCGGGCACACCCUGUCCUACCUGAACCCAGAGUGUCAAAGACAAACAAAGCCAGGCAGUAGUGAGAGGGUCAGGAGAGAUUUUUCACAGUAAUAACCGUUGCAGUGGGGAAGAGGUUACAGUGUGAACUGAAGUCAGCUUGGAUGUGUACAGAGGUGAGUGGAUUUUUCCAAGGGAGGAGGGAGGGGUGAGGGAAGGCUUGCUGGAGUCAGGAAGUGAGAAAUUGCAAAGCCCAGGAAGGAGGGGCCGGCCCCACUGGGCUGCUAACUGGCUCUGGUCGAAGUUAGCUCCUGAUGUCCCACAGAGGCCGGGAGACAGGGGCCGUAGCUGCAGGGAUUGGCUGGAACAGGGUAUUUUUUGGCGGUCUUGAGUUUCCUGAGGUAGGGACUAUAAGGGGGGCUGGUGUCAUCCUAGGGAUGUGGCCAUGAGUUGCUAGAUGCCAUGUUAGUGUUAGCUGAAGUCUUUAUAGGCCAGCGUGGAGGUAUUGUUGAGAAGAGGACUCAGAGGAGCCUGGCUGGCAGUUGGUCGAGGAGAGAUCUUAGUCUAGGGCCCCACACAGCCCAGGUUCCAGGGAUGUGGGUCCUGGCCAAGUAUCCCAUGGGCUCCUGCCUUUGGCUCACUCGAGUGGGCCUCAGGGACUCGCCACCAAAAAAUCUGAGACGCCAGCCUCAAGGAUGUGAGGGUGUCACAUCUGUCCUCCACAAAGAGCCCAAGCAAGAUGAGAAACAGCUUCAUGACCCCCAUAAUGAACAAGCCUUUUAAUGUCAGGACAGCUGCAAGCCCUUCUUCAAGCUCUCGGCCUCACCUGUCUUCCUUAUAACCACAGAAAAUGUCACUCCUCCUCUGAUUUGCCUUCUAUACCAUGCCCUUCCAUCUGAGGCAAUCUUGUGAAGCAUUCCACGUGGUCCUCCUGGGCCAGCUCACCCUCAUGACCCCUGGGCUGCAGGCCACAGCUCUCCCUGGCGGACCAGGAGGCUGGCAUGGCAGCAUGGAUAGAAAGUGUCUUUUACCUAAGUCAUCAUUCAUUAACUCCAGUUACAUUAGAGAUGUUUCCUGCUGGAAAACUUUCAGAAUCAUCUCUUUUUGAGAAAAAGGUGUGUGUAUUUUUUUAAACAACAGCAAUAGUCCAAGUCUGACUACUAAGAGCACAUUUUUAUUUUUAAAAUUAGACAUUGUGCUGAAAACAAGUUUAUUAAAAUAUGAUCUAUAACCUAAUUUUAUUCUUUCUUAUAGACAUGGGGGUCUCAGUAUGUUGCCCAGGCUGGUCUUGAACUUCUGGCCUCAAGUGAUCCUCCCACCUCAGCAUCCCGGGUAGCUAGAACUAGAGGCACACACCACUGUACCCAGCUAUGACUUGGUUUUAAUUGUCAAGGGAACCAGAUUUGUGAAAGAACAAAAACAGUGGCAUUUGUUUGUCUGGAAAUGGGGCCAUCUGGGUUCUCCAUCUCUUGGGGGCUGUGUUUGGAAAGGAAGAGCUGUCAGUCUGGGUUCCAGGCCGAUCCUCCCCGCAGUGGCUUUCUUCCUCUCUCGCCUGGAGGACAUCUCAUAGUUCUUGCCCUCAGGGUCCCCCCAGGCCGCCUUAUCCUCCUGGCUUUUCAUCCCCUGCAAUGUGCCACUCAGCUGCUGAGCUUCCAGGCCAGGCCUGCAGUUUCCUGGGUACCCAGCAUGAGUGGGGCUCUCAGCUGAAGGGUGGGUCAGGUGGUACAGGAGCCUCCAUAACAGUUUGCUAAAUAUAUGAAUAAAUAAAUUAUAAAACGUUAGUCCCCCUGCCAAAAAAAAAGCACAAAACACAGUUUGAGGUGAUGUGUUUUUGCCCUUGCCUGAGGGAGUUGGGAUUUACACAAUGCCACCAUUUGCAAACUGGGAUCUACAAGCCCCAGCAAGACACAAAGUUUGCAAGGGCACAGGCAGUGUUAAGCAAGCUGUGUUCCAGAACCUAACACCAUCUUCAUGGGCAGGCCCUGAUGGAGAUGCAGUUCUUCCCCGCCUUCCUCCACAGCACCCAGCUCCCUCCCCAAGCAGAUCUUUCCACCCAGGGCAAUGUUGCAUCAGCCCAGAGGAGGAAGGCCUCCCUGGCCAUGGCCACAGCCCACCCACCAGAGGAUAUUUGCAGUGUUGGGAAAGUGUGAGAAAGUGAGUGACUAAUGGCUGUGUUACUAAUCUUCUGGCAAGUCAGAUUGUUCUAGUUCUUUGCUUUCCAUGAACUGAAAGAGGAUCUAGUCAAUUUAUAAACUGAUGGAUUAGAUCAUUAAAAGUAAUUUUUAGGCCGGGUGCAGUGGCUCAUGCCUGUAAUCCCAGCACUUUGAGAGGUUGAGGUGGGAGGACUGGUUGAGCCCAGGAUUUCAAGACCAACCUGGGCAACAUAGUGAGACCCCGCGUCUACUAAAAAUAAAAAUUAACGGGCGUGGUGGCACACAUCUGUGAUCCUGGCUACUCAGGAGGCUGAGGUGGGAGGACCCCUUGAGUUUAGGAGUUUGAGGCUGCAGUGAGCCAUGAUUGUACCACUACACUCUAGCCUGGGUGACAAAGCAAGACUAUCUCAAAAAAAUUUUUUUAUGAUCAAUCUUCAUGUAAUUUUCAGCACAUAACUUAGAAGGAGUGGAAUCUUUACAACAAAACACUUUCCAUUCAGAUGUAUUUACUCAUGUAAAAACGUUUUUCGCCAUGCUUACAUAUAUAAAAAAUAGGAAUCCAACUGAUACCGAAUCAUGUGUCAUGCCACCGAUAAGUAAUAUUCAUCCAUGGAUACAUAAAGUAAUUUGAAAACAGUUUUAGUACCAUUUAUCUCGUUAUAAGAUGUGUU
rnacentral:lncRNA from 10 species